rnacentral:rRNA from 1 species
GAUGAACGCUGGCGGCGUGCCUAAUACAUGCAAGUAGAACGCUGAAGGAAGGAGCUUGCUCUUUCCGGAUGAGUUGCGAACGGGUGAGUAACGCGUAGGUAACCUGCCUGUUAGCGGGGGAUAACUAUUGGAAACGAUAGCUAAUACCGCAUAACAGUAGAUGUUGCAUGAUAUCUACUUAAAAGGUGCAAUUGCACCACUACCAGAUGGACCUGCGUUGUAUUAGCUAGUUGGUGAGGUAACGGCUCAACAAGGCGACGAUACAUAGCCGACCUGAGAGGGUGGUCGGCCAACCUGGGACUGGGGCACGGCCCAGAACUCUAAGGGGGGGAGCAGGAGGGAAUCUUCGGGAAUGGAGGGAAGUCUGGCCGGGCAACGCCGCGUGAGUGAAGGAGGUUUUCGGAUCGUAAAGAUCUGUUGUAAGGGAAGAAAGAGUGUGGGAGUGGAAAGUGCACACUGUGACGGUAUCUUACCAGAAAGGGACGGCUAACUACGUG